GAUGAAGAACGUAGCGAAAUGCGAUAAGUAAUGUGAAUUGCAGAAUUCAGUGAAUCAUCGAAUCUUUGAACGCAUCUUGCGCUCCUUGGUAUUCUGAGGAGCAUGCCUGUUUGAGUGUCAUUAAAUUCUCAACUACACUGACUUUGAAUUGGUGUGGCUUGGAUUUGGGGGGAAAAUUGUUGUGGGCUUUUUGUAUAGUCUGCUCCCCUGAAAUUGAUUAGCGGUACCUUUGUGGAACUGUCUACAGGUGUGAUAAUUAUCUACAUCUUAGACAUCUGCUGGAAUGCUGCUUUCUAAACCUUACUUGUAUUGACAAUCUUGACCUCAAAUCAGGUAGGACUACCCGCUGAACUUAAGCAUAUCAAUAAGCGGAGGAA
rnacentral:misc_RNA from 1 species